AGGUCAUUUCAACAUAAACAUUGAAAUAUGGGUAUACUGUCAGCUCUGUCACACGUGUAGUUUGACAUUAGCAGCCCUUCUGAAACAUUUUAAUGAAAGUAUAAUUCACAAAAUUCACAUUUUCACUUACUUCUUAACAUCUGUUUUAAUCCAACUAGCUCUGUAGGCACGAGCAAAGUUUAGUGUUGUCAACACUGUGUUGAUGUAAAUAUCCAUUUUGUUCAUGUU